rnacentral:rRNA from 1 species
CCUACGGGUGGCAGCAGUAGGGAAUAUUGCUCAAUGGGGGAAACCCUGAAGCAGCAACGCCGCGUGGAGGAAGAAGGCUUUCGGGUUGUAAACUUCUUUUUUCAGGGACGAAGCAAGUGACGGUACCUGACGAAUAAGCCACGGCUAACUACGUGCCAGCAGCCGCGGGAUUACGUAGGUGGCAAGCGUUAUCCGGAUUUACUGGGUGUAAAGGGCGUGUAGGCGGGACUGCAAGGCAGAUGUGAAAACCACGGGCUCAACCUGUGGCCUGCAUUUGACACUGUAGGUCUUGAGUACUGGAGAGGCAGGCGGAAUUCGUAGUGUAGCGGUGAAAUGCGUAGAUAUUAGGAAGAACACCAGUGGCGAAGGCAGUCUGCUGGACAGCAACUGACGCUGAGGCACGAAGGCCAGGGGAGCGAAAGGGAUUAGAUACCCCAGUAGUC